CCCGCGGGCCGGGCCCCUCUGACACCCACUAGCGGUGUGAUGUCGGACCGCAAGU
rfam:Sphingomonas sp. G39 SPHI_contig000008, whole genome shotgun sequence.